rnacentral:rRNA from 1 species
AUGGCCUUAGCUUCUCGUAAGCUUUCUGUUGCGCUGGCAUGUGUACUGCACUACUGCUGCUGUUGGUGCCGGCGGCGUGCCAUGGCCUGGAGGUGGGUUGCUACAAAGAAUACAUGCCCCCGCGUGGUGGCCAUCGUGAGGGACGAGGUCAAGAAGUUCGUCUACAAGAAUGUCCUCGCGCACAAAGUGUUGUUCACGUCGGACACCACCCUUCUUACAACGCUGGCGACGACGCAGAUGGUGCGCGACAGUACCAACAUCCCCAGGCAGUGGGAGCAGAAGUUUAACAAGGCCACGGUCAAGAUGGGAGCCAUCGAAGUGAAGACCGGCUACCAAGGCAAAAUCAGGAGGAAGUGCAGGGUUGUCGACCACUGA